rnacentral:rRNA from 1 species
CCUACGGGUGGCAGCAGUGAGGAAUAUUGGUCAAUGGCCGCAGGGCUGAACCAGCCAAGUCGCGUGAGGGAUGACGGUCCUAUGGAUUGUAAACCUCUUUUGUCAGGGAGCAAAGGGCGCCACGUGUGGCGUUUUGCGAGUACCUGAAGAAAAAGCAUCGGCUAACUCCGUGCCAGCAGCCGCGGUAAUACGGAGGAUGCGAGCGUUAUCCGGAUUUAUUGGGUUUAAAGGGUGCGUAGGCGGAUCGUUAAGUCAGUGGUCAAAUUGAGGGGCUCAACCCCUUCCCGCCAUUGAAACUGGCGUUCUUGAGUGGAAGAGAAGUAUGCGGAAUGCGUGGUGUAGCGGUGAAAUGCAUAGAUAUCACGCAGAACCCCGAUUGCGAAGGCAGCAUGCCGGCUUCCGACUGACGCUGAAGCACGAAAGCGUGGGGAUCGAACAGGAUUAGAUACCCCGGUAGUC